AAAACAAAGAAUCAUUUCUCAACGAAAAAAUGGCACAUCACAAAGCUAGUUCAUGGAUUUCCUGCACACACCACUGACCAGUGUUUAUGGGAUCUGCACUGGAACCCUUCUGUUUGCGGGACAAAUAUAUAUAAGUGACAUGGAUUAAAAUCUAAUUUGAGUACAUUUUGAAUUGUUGGAAGAUGUACAUUUGUGGAAGGAAGGGGAGCUGCCUGCAGCUGAAUAGUCACAUUGAAUUUUUUUUUGGUGAUUCCAUCUGCUGCUAAGCAUUCUAAUUAUCUUUUCAUUAUCAGAAAAAUUGCUU